ACGAGAGUAGUUUAAUGGUAGAAUAGCGGUCUCCAAAACCGUUGGUGGGAGUUCGAUUCUCUCCUCUCGUGCCA
rnacentral:tRNA from 1 species